rnacentral:rRNA from 1 species
AGUGAACGCUGGCGGUAGGCCUAACACAUGCAAGUCGAACGGCAGCACAGUAAGAGCUUGCUCUUACGGGUGGCGAGUGGCGGACGGGUGAGGAAUACAUCGGAAUCUACUUUUUCGUGGGGGAUAACGUAGGGAAACUUACGCUAAUACCGCAUACGACCUACGGGUGAAAGCAGGGGAUCUUCGGACCUUGCGCGAUUGAAUGAGCCGAUGUCGGAUUAGCUAGUUGGCGGGGUAAAGGCCCACCAAGGCGACGAUCCGUAGCUGGUCUGAGAGGAUGAGCAGCCACACUGGAACUGAGACACGGUCCAGACUCCUACGGGAGGCAGCAGUGGGGAAUAUUGGACAAUGGGCGCAAGCCUGAUCCAGCCAUACCGCGUGGGUGAAGAAGGCCUUCGGGUUGUAAAGCCCUUUUGUUGGGAAAGAAAAGCAGCAGGUUAAUACCCCGCUGUUCUGACGGUACCCAAAGAAUAAACACCGGCUAACUUCGU